UGGUGAUGUGUGUACAUCAGAUAACUGAUCAGUAGCUUAGUUCAACUAAACUGCCCCCAAAACCGACCGGUUCUCUAUCUCUCUCUCUCUCGCUUUCUCAAUUCUCAAACUCUAUCAUUUCGUUCUGAUUUUCGCUGUCGAAUUGUUUGCUGGAUCUUCAGGAAAAUGGGUCUUGCAAGUUUUGCUUUUUGGGCCACGGUUUACACUGAUCAAGAUUUGGGCCAUGGUUUACACUGAUCAAGAUUUGGGCCAUGUGAACAAUGUUUAUUUUUGUAUUUUUAGCCUAACAAGAAUGAGAUAGCAAAGGCUACGGAACUUAUUAAGAUAAUGGUUGACAAGGGUUUUUCAGCAAAUGCAACCACUGCAUCCAUGUUGGUUGACUUGCUAUCUACAAAUCCAGCAGAUAAAGCACUUUAGACUUUGCCGGUCAAUCUAUAAGGUGUAUGUAUAUUUGUUGGAAGUGGUUAUUUACUUUUUGUGAA